UACGAGUGCCUCAAGCGUUAUCCGGAAUCAUUGGGCGUAAAGGAUGUGUAGGUGGUCAUAUUAGUCUCUUGUUAAAUUUCUCGGCUUAACCGGGAACAUGCAGGGGAAACGGUAUGACUUGAGGAUGCGAGGGGUCUACGGAACUCAUAGUGUAGCGGUGAAAUGCGUUGAUAUUAUGGGGAACACCAAAAGCGAAGGCAGUAGACUGGAGCACUCCUGACACUGAAACAUGAAAGCGUGGGUAGCGAAUGGG
rnacentral:rRNA from 1 species